GACGAACGCUGGCGGCGUGCUUAACACAUGCAAGUCGAACGGUAAGGCCCUUCGGGGUACACGAGUGGCGAACGGGUGAGUAACACGUGGGUGAUCUGCCCUGCACUUCGGGAUAAGCCCGGGAAACUGGGUCUAAUACCGGAUAGGACCACUGCCUGCAUGGGUGGUGGUGGAAAGCUUUUGCGGUGUGGGAUGGGCCCGCGGCCUAUCAGCUUGUUGGUGGGGUGAUGGCCUACCAAGGCGACGACGGGUAGCCGGUCUGAGAGGGUGACCGGCCACACUGGGACUGAGAUACGGCCCAGACUCCUACGGGAGGCAGCAGUGGGGAAUAUUGCACAAUGGGCGCAAGCCUGAUGCAGCGACGCCGCGUGAGGGAUGACGGCCUUCGGGUUGUAAAUCUCUUUCAGCACCGACGAAGCGCAAGUGACGGUAGGUGCAGAAGAAGGACCGGCCAACUACGUGCCAGCAGCCGCCGCCG
rnacentral:rRNA from 1 species